AGAGUUUGAUCAUGGCUCAGAACGAACGCUGGCGGCAGGCUUAACACAUGCAAGUCGAGCGCCCCGCAAGGGGAGCGGCAGACGGGUGAGUAACGCGUGGGAACGUACCCUUUACUACGGAAUAACGCAGGGAAACUUGUGCUAAUACCGUAUGUGCCCUUCGGGGGAAAGAUUUAUCGGUAAGGGAUCGGCCCGCGUUGGAUUAGCUAGUUGGUGGGGUAAAGGCCUACCAAGGCGACGAUCCAUAGCUGGUCUGAGAGGAUGAUCAGCCACAUUGGGACUGAGACACGGCCCAAACUCCUACGGGAGGCAGCAGUGGGGAAUAUUGGACAAUGGGCGCAAGCCUGAUCCAGCCAUGCCGCGUGAGUGAUGAAGGCCCUAGGGUUGUAAAGCUCUUUCACCGGAGAAGAUAAUGACGGUAUCCGGAGAAGAAGCCCCGGCUAACUUCGUGCCAGCAGCGGCGGUAAUUC
rnacentral:rRNA from 1 species